rnacentral:rRNA from 1 species
AUGAAUGAGCUCGUCCACGCCAACCAAUCGGCAUUCAUCAAGGGGAGGAAUCUACACGACAAUUUCUUGCUAGUGAGACAGGUGGCUAGAUCCCUACAUCGUCGGAGAGCAAAAGGUGUCUUACUCAAGUUGGAUAUCUCGCGAGCGUUCGACACCUUAUCUUGGCCAUUCUUAUUUGAGGUUCUUCGUGCCAAGGGGUUUUCAGACACUUGGAUGUCCUGGAUUGCGAUCUUGCUUUCUACGGCCAGCUCACGCGUGGUGGUUAACGGACAUGCGGGGCAAAAAUUCUCUCAUGCUCAAGGGCUUCAGCAAGGAGAUCCGGUCUCGCCGUUGCUUUUUGUUAUUGCCAUGGAUGUCCUCACAUCCCUAAUCACGAGAGCACAGGAGAGUGGAGUCUUGAGCAAGAUGCCGGGUUGCACCCCCAUGCAAAGACUCUCCAUCUAUGCGGAUGAUGUCGUAUUAUUUGUUAGACCAACCAUUCCGGAUCUUAGAUUUGUCAAGGAGGCUUUGCACAUAUUCGGGAUCGCUUCGGGCAUGAACAUAAAUUACUCUAAGUCCACGGCCAUCAUGAUUAGAGAUGAGGAUGGUGACAAGGAGCUGGUCGAGGGUGCCAUGCCCUGGAGCAUGGAGUCUUUCCCCUGCAAGUACUUGGGGCUGCAGCUAUCCAUAUGGCAAUUGACGUGCUCGGAGUGGCAGCCGAUUGUGGACAAUGUGCUUAAUUUCAUGCCAGGCUAG